CCAUGGCCGCCACACCUCGCCAUCAAGUUCGUCGCAUCCCGGCCGCCCCGUGCCUUUGGACCUUGUCCACGAGCCUCCUGGUAAGCUCCUCUGCCGAUUCCCCUGGUUCCCGUGCUCGAUUCGUUGUCAUAGUUGUCGCCCCGAGUUCGUCCGUGCGCGCCCGUGCGUGGCCUCGGCGCUGCCGUGCUGCUGCUAUUGCGCCCCGCCGUCCGCCCGUUGCCGCAUCGCCGCGCCCCACGUCCAUGUGCGCGCUCGUGCGCCCCUCCGUCGCCCAGCCUACGCGUGCAUCGUCGCGAUCGCCCGCUAUCGUGCUCCUGUUGUUGCCCUGCUACUGCUGCCAUUUGCCACUGCUGCUACUUGAUGUACUGCUUGCAGCUACCAUGCUGCCGCUUCCACGCGUCGUAUGCUCGGCCACUCCCGUGUCAUUGCUGCAGCUGGCAUGGCAAGGCCAUGGCCAAGUACGCCAUGCGUGUUUGUGCUGUGUGCACAUGCGUGUGUGUGAUGUGUAUGGUGUGCACGGCCAUGUACGUGUGUGUGGCCGGCUGGUUAGUCUAAUUAGUGGUUAUUGUAAAGAGUAAAAAGGAAAGAGAGAGCAAAUGAUUAAACAGUUGUCUCACUGAUUGAAGAUGUGGGUAUAUAUACCCUAGUACAAAGGCGGUUACAAGGAGCAGUUGUUAAACUAAAGCAACUGACAUAGCAGGGAUUAUCCCUUAAUUAAUUCCUAACACUCCCCCUAAUCAAUGCUUGUCUUUAUAAUAUAUAUCAUGUUGAUAAAGACUCCUCCUUGUAUGUGUUUGCCUUCGAGAAUGUUCAUCAUCUUCAUUUUGAGAAAUCGUUGUAUAAUCUUUAAAGUCUCCUCCAAAAACCCUGUGGGAAAAAUAUGAGGAGAAUAGUGUAGAUAUGUUGCUAAAACUCCUUUAAACCCAGUGGGAAAAAUAAUAAGGAGAAAAUAAUGCAACAUAUAAUGAUUAUUGUCUCUUGAUAACUCAUAUGAGAAAAACCUUUGAAGAAGGAGAAAACUCAUUGGUGAAUUUAGAGAACAAUUGAUAUGUCUUGAUUACUUUCUUUAAAAACCCCAAUAGGGAAAAUAGAAAGUAUGACAUAUGAUCUUUGAUAAGAUAUUGCCUCAUUAAAAACCAUUAUGAGAAACUUUUGAGAGAAAAACUCAUAAGGGAAAAGAGUGCAUUUGACAUGCCAUUGAAAACUCCUUUAAAACCCAAUGGGAAAAAUAUAAGGAGAAAAUGAUAUGGCAUAUACAAACACUUGUGAUUAUAUUGUCUCGUUAAAAACCUUUUAUGAGAAACCAUUAGGGAAAAACUCAUCGAGGGAAAAAGAGUACAAUACAUGCAAUCUGAUGAUUGUUAAUAGGUUAUAGUUUGGGAGAUUACUCCCCCUCAACUUUGCAAAUAUGGUGGAUGUCUCAUACCAAUUUCAUUGACAUGAACAUAAGAUUGUGUAUAAUCUGUUGGAUUUUCACAUGAUUUUGUUUGCAAAUUAUUUCCUCGCUUUUCUAUAAUCCAUGAGGAUAAUAGUUUCCGAGCAAUGUGAUUUGUGAUAUUGCUCUUCAUAUAACCUGUUGGUAUUGAGUAACACAAGUGGAAGUAGCUUUAUAAAUCAAGUAAUGUGAUUCUGAUGAAUCUCAACCACAUGAUUUUGAGUGUGGUUAAUCAUUCUGCUAAGUUAUGCAUAUUUUGCAAUGCCUUUAGAUAAGCAAUUAUGUUAGAAUGAUAAUUGGAACCAUUAAAAUUCAUUUAUAUAACUUCCAUGUGAAGGCUAUUCCAACAAAUUCAGUCAGUGAUAUGGCGUCAUUGGGAUCAAAUAAAAAGCUAAUAUCAUUACAUCAUAUCAUGGUCAUAUCUUCUAUUUCCUCAUGGAAAUAUCCAAGAUUUACUGGAAUCUUCAGAUAUAAGAUGAUAGUAUUUAUAUCAACCAUAUACCUUUUGUUGUUAUGAUAUAUCCACACUGAACUUCUCGUAUAUGUUUUGGAUAUAUGUAGACUGAUACGUAUUCUUGAUAGAAUGCUCAAGUUGUAAACUUAAGCUAAAUUUGGUUGAAUCCAAAUUUUCCGUCUUGAGAUGAUUUUAUGUAUGUUUAGGUCUUGCAGAGACAUUGAGGAUGAAAUCAUCGAUAUAAACCGAGGUGAUAUAAGGAAUUCAAAUUUGGUAUUCCUUUGUUAACACAUAAACAAUCAUCAUUGAGUAAUCCUUCGGAAGAAGAAAAUCAUUUAGUCGGUAGUACCAUAUGAUUUCCGACUAUUUUGAGCCAUAGAGUGACUUCUGAAAUUUUACACAAAUAUGUUGCGAUUUAUUUUGGAUUUGGAAUUGUAAGCCCAUCAGGGACUUCAUUAUAAAUUUCCAAAACGAGUAACUCAUAUGAGUAUGUAGUUACUGCAUCCAUUAACUGCAUGGAUAAUAUUAUUUGUACUACCAAUGAUAUUUAUUAUCAAAACUUAAUUCCACUCAUACCAGGAGUGUAUGUUACAUCAUAAUUUGAUGUCGGGUCUCUGCGUGAACCCUUUUGCUACAAGCCUCGCUUUUUCACCACCUCAUUGACUUUGUCUAUGAAUGAGACGUUUUUAGUAUUCCAUAUGGAAGAUACUUAUGAGGAGUAGGUAUUAAUGUGGUAAAUACCACUCUUUGAUGCGCGACUGUUAUUCUUCAUUACUUGCUUCCUUUUAUGUGAACCAAUAUGAGUACAAGAGGCACUCUACCAUGGAUUUUGGUUCAGGGCCCAAAAGGUUUUAGCAAUUUUCAGAAGAAAUAUAUGUCGACAAAUGUAGACUUAUGUUAUAUGAUUUUGGAGGAAUCAGUGAAAUUUGUGGAAAUGUAUUUAUUCCUUUUAACUCCUUGUGAUUUCCUACAACAAUGGAGUCAAGGUGUUUCGAUGUCCCGACACGAAAACAUUUGUGCACAUUUAUGUCGGGCUUUGGAUGAUGAGCAUCCAGUGAGGUGUUCUUUCAACUUGAUGUUGAAUUACAUUUACUGGUUGAGGAUUUGAUUUCCUCUAUUUCCGCGGAAGCAUAUGCGAGAUUAUAUCUCGUGUGGUCAGAUUUCUUCCCCUCUUGCUCUCAUUUCGGGAGAAGAGUGGUUUAUGAGGUACCUCCACUCUUUCUGACACUUUACUGCAAGAAUUUAAAAUUGAGUGACACCUUUGUGAUCAGUAAAUUUAUGUGGCAGAUUUGCAAUGUGUUGCAAAUAUGUGACUCUAAACUUCUUGUUCAGAUUCUUUGAGUACGUGGAUAUAAGGCCUAAAUGUGAAUACCAUUUCUAAUUUAUUUCUUGGCAUUCUUUGUGGUACUUAUCUCCCCCUAAUGCCAGAAAUGUCCUUAUUGCUGAUGCAAUGACCAUACGGGCUAUGUAUAGUUUUGAUUGACGAAUAAGUUGUUAUUCCUCACAUAGAUCCCUAAUUUUCUAUGAGAGCCCAUUGAUGUAUGCUGGAGUGGUGAUAUCAGUAUGUAACCAAAUUAUCGCAGAUAGGAAAUACUUUGUUGAUUUCCACGUAAUUACUACAAGGGGAAAGUAGUACGCUAUGCAGUUGGUAUGAUUUAUAUCAUACUUACGGUGUGUAAUGUCGUAUUUGUCUAGCAUGAGGCUAGUAAAUUACGAUUCUAUAAGUUUGGUCAUAUUAUUAAUUUCAUUAUAUUUGAUAAGAUAUUGAACUAAACCAUUAUGUGUAUUACAUAAUGUAUUAUGUAUAAUCAGACAUUGCUUGUGAAAUAAGUUCAACGAAGUUGUCCAUUCGAAUGGAUUUAUCCCUUGUUUACGAUAACUUGCUCUUACUUUGAGAAUUUGAGCAAUUAAUUUAGUUAUAUAAUUCAUGGUUUGUGUGACAAGAGACACAAUGGAAAUCAUUUUAUAAAUGUUUCCAUGAGUACCAUGAAGUAUCUAUAUAAUAUCAUAUAAUGGUUGAGUAAUCCACAUAUCUUCUAAAUGUCUUCAAGGAAGAAUAAGUGGCGCAUUUGAAUUUUUAAGGUGAGAGAACCUUAAAACUUAUUUCCCCUAUGGCACAUGUGGUGCACAUAAAAUCUGUUGAUUUGGGAAAUAUUAUAACUUAAAAAGUUUUGUGACCAAUAGAAUUACCAAUAAUUUUCUAAUCAAGCCCAAACCUAGAUUGUAAGGCUUAAAACCAAAUAUUUUGUAAGAUUUAGAAAAUUAUUGUGUACGCAACAAACUGAGUAUGAAUUGAUUCAUACAUGCAAAAUUUGUCAAAUAUAACGUUCAAGCAAUAGGAUAUUGGACAUCGCACUACAUGUAGUAGUACAAGUAUAGGCCAACAAUAUUUUGGGAAUAAUCAGGAUAUUGCAUGAGGUCUCCCAUAUUAUUGAAAAAAAUAGUUACGCAAACAUAUCAUAGGCACAAAAUAAUUGAUCAUUCUUUUAUUGCAUUAUAUUUUUGGUUCUCCUUCUGAUGAAGAUUUGAGAACAUCAUUUACCAGAAUAUUUUCUGGUUGUAUGUUUGCAAUUUUUUUAAAUAUCCCAAUGAACUUAUUAGCCUUUUGAAUAAAUUUUUGAUGUGGUUUGACCAUAUGUUUGAGGGUUUCAUAAUCAUAGGUAUGAUAUUUAUAUAACCACACAUUUGACAAACUUGAGGUUUGUCUUUGUAAUCGUUUGAAAAUGACAUAUUCCCUGUAAAGAGUUAAUUCUAUCUUUGGUUGUCUUUUAGCCUCCACUUUACUUUGGAUUCAUCAUGGUCCUAUUUUGUGACCAAUGACUUGCUUAGUAUUUGCAAUACUAGCAAAAAUUUCAAAUAAUGGAAUAGCACCCGUUGGGUGAAUCUGAUGAUUUUAUGAAAUUCCAUGUUUCUUCAGCAUGAAAAUGGUAGGACUAUCAUAAGAAGAUGUAAAGUGUAUUGAGGGCUUUUCAACUCGAUCUCCGGAUGAAAAUAUUUGAUCAUGAGAUCUCAAUUUAAAGUUGAUUCACUGACAAAAAUGUGAGUUGCGAUAGACUUGAGGUCUUGAGAAAUGAAUGGGUGAUUAUUCGCGAUGUGCUCAUGGCAGCAUGUUUCUCUUAGGGAAAUAUUCAAGGACAAUACACAUGUAUCCAUCAUAUACUUAGUUUGAGAAUCAAGUGAAGUUGGUGACAUAUAAAAUACAUAUGUGCAUCAAUAGAAUAGCCAUGUGUUACAUGAAAUGGUCAUGCAUUAUUUAAUUUACUUCUUGGAGUAAAAUAAAAUAUAUGGAUGAAAUGAUAUUGUUGAGCACAGUCCGCCAAGGCGAUGCUUGGUGAACAUGGGGUGUAAAGCUUCAAUAUAGUGCAUACGAUGAAAUCGUUGCUAAUGUUUUGGGCUUCAUUUGUGAGAAAAGUGUGACUUUAGAGUCCCAGCCAAAACAUAGACUUUGCAAUUUUAAUAUUGCUUAGUCACUAUGAAAAUAAGGACCACAAUGUGAUGUGGAUCUUGCAAUAGUGUUUGAGACACUCACUAUAAAUUAUGGUAUCCAUCUUGAUGGAUGGAUGACACUAUAAUUAGAAAUAGUGACGUAGGCUCCAUUGCCAUGCAUUUUACAAAUGUAGUAGAAGGUAAUCACACGUAUAUGCAAUUGUUUUCAUAGUUUCCUAUGACAUAUUCAAGCAAAAUGUGCAAGAACAAUAUUUACUAUGAGAGUAAAAUAUUUAAGUGAACAACAACAAUAAAUGCUUCGGAGGAGCAAAUUCUAGUACGGCUGAUGCCUUAUAACCAUAUGUGUAGACCUCAAUUUAUAUAGGAUAGCACUUUGAAGAUAAUCACCAAUAUGGUGUAGAUCUCGCAAUAAUAGAAAACAUAGUGUGACUAUUGUCAGUAGAUGUUUAUAAUUCUAUUACCUUAUGUUAUGCUAUUUUUAAGAAAAUCACUUUGAAGGUAAUCAUAUGUCAGGAUGGCAUGAUGUAGACCUCACAGUAGUAUUUGAUAAUCUGCAAGAUUUUGCAGUAGAUACCAAUAUUACCUUAUGAUAUCCUGAGGUAGUCACAUAUUAAUAUUUGGAAAAUCACUUUGAAGGUAGUCAUCUUGUCCAAAUGACAAGAUGUAGACCUCACCAUAGUGGUGGAUAAUCUGCAAAUGGCGCGGUAGAUGCCACCAGUACCUUGCGAUUUCACAAAUAAAAUUUUGGGUAAUCACAUUAUGAAUUGGAAAAUCACAUUAAAAGUAGUCAUCUUAUCAAAAAUGACAAGAUGUAGACCUUACAGUAAUGAUGGAUAAUCUGUAGAUUAUGCAGUAGAUGCCAUCAAUACCUUGUGAUCCACAAAUGUGAUUUGAGGUAGUCAUAUUAAGUAUGACACUUCUUAAUUCUUGUUUGAAUUUACAUCCAUACUUGUAAGAAAAUUGAAUUUCUAUUGCAAGAAUUUAGUUGUUGUCCACAGUAACAUAUUAUAUUGAUUGCAUGAGGUAGACAGAUUGAACAUGUCUUUUUUUUCUUUUGUACGCUUUACAUCAAGUACAUAGACUAAACUGAGCAAACUAAGUCUGAAGACUUAAAACUGCAACCGCAAGUGUUAGAGAUUGAAUGGCAGUUUUAGAAAUCUUGGGUACUAAAACAUACGGUUUAGUAAAUCACAAUUAACCCUUAAUGGAUCUGAAACUGCAGGGACAAGAUAUGAUUAUCUUAAAGUACAGGGUUGAAUUGAAUAAAUUCCAAAGAAGAUAAGAUCCCUAAUUUCUUUCUCUCUUGUGUAUGCGUAUGCGGUAGCAAUUGAAAAACAUCUACAGCGUUGCUCGCUUUAUGGACAAAGCCAAACCAUUGUAGCCGCAGCCGGCGGCAUGAACUAUUGUGGACGAUGCCGCCAAGGUGUGCCGCAUACUGCUGCCACGCCGGGCGCUGGGAGAUGGGGAGCCGCCGCCCAGCCUUAUGUGCUCGCCGGAGAGGACCUGCCAAGGGCCGUGGCUUCGGAUGCGAACGAGCCGGAGGGCUUCGCCGCCCCCUAUUGGAUGCGGCAGGAUCACGAUGCCACGCGUUGUGUAGGGAUGCACAAUCAGGCCCGGUGUGAAGGUCUCGCCAUGGCCUCCAUGGACAAUGCACGGUUCCUUUUUUUCGAUACAAAGCCAUUCACGUUAGUGCAUAGAUGUACAUACAAAAUUGAUUGAUUACGAGAUGACGAUGAGGAGCAAAUUCUUGAUUUAUUUCCCGAAUUGUAUUUGACCAUUCGGUGCCGCAUCUUGUAGCCGCCGAUCGGUAGCAGUGCCAUGACCGCACAGGGAGGGUGAAGCCGUGCUGGGUCGGGAGCCGUCACGCGCGCUCCGGACACGUGGCGCUGGGAGUCACCGUCGUCCUGCCUUGCGCCUCAUCGAUAUGACCUCGCCCAGUUCCUGCCGCUGUAGCGCCGUUCGUCGUCUGUGUGCCUCCCGCUGCCGCUGAUGCCGGAGCGUCUCAUAGGUUGGAGGGCGUCGCACCCGAUCUGCUGCCGCGUCGGGAGGAGCCAAGCCGAGGGGCGUUGAGCACCACGCACGGGCCGGAGGGAGCGACGAUGCGUCGCCGAAGUGCCGCUGUCUCUUGUCCCAGAGCGGGGCUGCAACGAGGAGGACGCCGCGCGCGUGCCGGAGGGCGUGGCUGCGAAGGGCCGACCGUGGUCGCCGCAGCGACGGCAGAGGUUCGAGCGUGUCUCCGGCGAUUCAUUGUGAUGCAUCUGCCGUUCUUCCGAUGUGGCCUAUUUCUCUAAUCGAGAGCAGAGUGCGUGAUAACGUGUAAAGAGUAAAAAGAGUACAAAGGAAAGAGAGAGCAAAUGAUGAAACAGUUGUUUCAUUGAUUGAAGAUGUGGAUAUAUAUACCCAGUACAAAGGCGGUUACAAGGAGCAGUUGCUAAACUAAAGCAACUGACAUAGCAGGGAUUAUCCCUUAAUUAAUUUAUUUAAUUAAUUCCUAACAGUUAUUAGAUAGUAUGG
rnacentral:lncRNA from 1 species